CCUACGGGUGGCUGCAGUGGGGAAUUUUCCGCAAUGCUCGUAAGAUUGACGCAGCGACGCCGCGUGCAUGACGAAGGCCUUCGGGUCGUAAAGUUCUUUCGACAGGGAAGAAAAUGCGUAUAAGGAACUGUGUAUGUAUUGACGGUACCUGUAUAAGCAGCCCCGGCUAACUCUGUGCCAGCAGCCGCGGUAAUACAGAGGGGGCGAGCGUUGUUCGGAGUGACUGGGCGUAAAGAGCACGUAGGCGGUGUUGUAAGUCUUUAGGCAAAGAAUAGCGCUCAACUUUCGUAAGUUUAGUGAGACAAUAGUAAUAGAGAAUCAGAGAGGAGUGCAGAAUUCCUGGUGUAGCGGUGAAAUGCGUAGAUAUCAGGAAGAAUACC
rnacentral:rRNA from 1 species